AGAUUCCAAAGACUUAUUGGGAACCUGUCAAAAGAGCUCCUGAGGGCUGGAAGAAAGGAGGACUGCUUCCAGAUUUGUGAAUCACCCCAAAAAGGUGCCAACUCUCACGCCAGGCCUCUGAACUCUGGGACACCUGGCCUCACUGCUGCCUUUCUUUGGGAUCACCUGCCAGCAAUACAGCGCCCCAGGGACUGGGCAGCAACUCAUUAGCUCUAGAAAUUUGGAGUUCUGAGUUCUUGUGGGACAGAGGUCAACCGGGUUUAACAUCAUUAUCAUUCUAACAAUAAGAAACAUCCUGAGCUGCUUCCCUGCAGGUCGGAGGAAUCAUUCUGCAGGAUCUGGAACCAGGCCCUACAACAAAACUAUU
rnacentral:lncRNA from 1 species